CUCGCACACAAACGCAUGACUGCAGAUGUGUUACUAAUACACACCCAGUGUUUGUUAGAACUCUUAUGUUGCAUGAACGUCCCGAGCGGUUGACAGAAUUCCAGCUAAUUUCUCCAGUAAGAUUCUCAUCUGUACUUUUUUAUAUCUGAUCUCGGGACAUUGACUAACCCAUUGAAACGCGUCUGUUUAAAAUGUGAUUGCGCGCUGUACUUGCCCAACCUGGGUCACCAUGUAAUCUGUCUCCUCAGACAUGAAUGAUUUUGCCUGAUGGAUUUAAUGGAAUGAUGAACAGCUCAUGUCCGGAUUAGAGCUGAAACUCCUCCACCCUUUGGACAAAGAGGGAGAGAGGGGGAGGUCACAUGACUUGAAUGACACCAGCUUUAAGUCUUAUAUGCACAACUGCAAAGGUUAAGUAACCGUGUAUGAUGUCAGCGGUAGUCUUGUGUCGAACAAAUAGACCACAUGCUUUUGAUUGACCCCACUUUCAGCCACCACACAACAGCACACACUGUAUACAAAAAGUUUGGGGUCAAUAGAAUGUUUAUUUUUUUCAAAGAAAUUAACUUUUUUUCAGCAAGGAUGCAUUAAAUUGAUCAAAAGUGACCGUAAAGACAUUUAUAAUGUUACAAAAGAUUUCUAUUUCAAGUAAUUGCUGUUCUUUUGAACUUUCUAUUCAAAGAGUCAUGAAAAAAUGCAUCAAUGUUUCCAUAAAAAUUAUUAAGCAGCACAACAUUGAUAAUCAGAAAUGUUUCUUGAGCACCAAAUCAUCACAGGAAUAAAUGACAUUUUAAAAUAUAUUAAAAUAGAAAACAGGUUAAUUCAAAAUUGUAAUAUUUCACAAUAUUACUGUAUUUUUGAUUAAAUAAACGCAGCCUUAUUGAGUAUAAGACUUUUCAAAAACAUUAAAAAACUUAGAGACCCCAAACUUUUGAAUAGAAGUGUACUUUACCGCUAUUAGAAGUACAGGAAAUGACUUGUUUGCUGAUGGUUGAACUGGGUUGCGUUGUCAUUUACCAGAAUCUUCCUCUGUUCAGCGUGCGUGAAGACCAGACAGACCUCACUCUACAGUGAUGGAUGGGGGUUUGGAAAAAUAUACUGUCUCAUCAUUUAAUCAUUUUUUGGCUAAGUUCAUAAGCAGCAAAAAUCCAAAUGAUUAUUUAUUUAUUUAUUUAUUUAUUAUUUAUUUUUUACCAAUUUAGAGCUGUUUAGCGGCUUGUAUAAUGCAAAAAAAAAAAAAAAAAAGUUUAUUUAAUAAUAAAUCUAAUCUUUACGAAGGCAUCAAUGUGUAAAAUUUAACAUCUGGAUAUUGCAUUUCAUUUUUUUUAAUUUUUUUUAUUAUUCACAAUGUGAAAAACUGAUGUAUGUGAUGCAAUGUCUUAGGAGUCUAAUUUCAUUACUUACAAAAUGACAAUGUAGUCUUAAAAGUCUUUAUGAAACAUUAAUUGGAAAUGGGUGCAGUGUAAACAAAGCCUUUGUGUAUAGAUUUUCAUUUUUGCUUGUAAAAAUACUAUUGAAAAUGUAAACCGGUAUUACCCCAUGGUUAAUGGUGUUUUUGAUGUCAGACUUGAUUAGAAGGGCAGCACUGGUAUUACAGUCUCUUCAGUUUGCCUCUUUUGUAUGACUUGAGGUCAGUUGAGGGUGUUUUCAUUUAGAACUGAAAAUCAUGUGACACUGAAGUGAGGCUUAUAUCAAGCAGACAGUGUGGUCAAUAUCCUUUUCCUCUUUUCUCUGUCUUUAGGUAAAUGGUGUUGCCACUGAUGGUGAGGCAGAGACAUCUCAGACAUCACCCAAGCGAAGGCCAAUUAUCUUCAGCCUCAAUAAUGCCGUAGCCAAACCUUCAAACAGCCCAACGCUUCACGACAGUAAGGUAACAUCAAGAGCCGACAGCGUGGCGGACAGGAAGCCAUAUGGGCAGUGGGUCCCCAUCAGCAAAUCCUCUUCUAAAAAUAAACACUGAGAUUCAACAAUGGUGUAAAAAGACUGUAAAUACUGUAAAUAGUUUGUGUAGUGAUCACUUGGGUGGGGGUGGGUGAGUAGGGAGCAUCUGAAUUCUUCAUAAAUGUUUUCUUUCAGAUAUAAAGUGGGUUUUAUUGGAAGAAGGCAAGAGGAUGUCAAACAGGUGGGAAAUAUUGUGUACAUAUUGGUAUUUUUGUGCUGUAUAGUGGAUGUUUCUGAAUAAAGAACAACAAAAAAAAUAA